UUCAACCGCAAAAGAAGCAGAGGGGGCUUAGUGGUGGGGUGACUGCGUACCUUUUGUAUAAUGGGUCAGCGACUUAUAUUCUGUAGCAAGGUUAACCGCAUAGGGGAGCCGGAGGGAAACCGAGUCUUAAUUGGGCGUUAAGUUGCAGGGUAUAGACCCGAAACCCGGUGAUCUAGCCAUGGGCAGGUUGAAGGUUGGGUAACACUAACUGGAGGACCGAACCGACUAAUGUUGAAAAAUUAGCGGAUGACCUGUGGCUGGGGGUGAAAGGCCAAUCAAACCGGGAGAUAGCUGGUUCUCCCCGAAAGCUAUUUAGGUAGCGCCUCGUGAAUUCAUCUCCGGGGGUAGAGCACUGUUUCGGCCAGGGGGCCAUCCCGGCUUACCAAUCCGAUGCAAACUGCGAAUACCGGAGAAUGUUAUCACGGGAGACACACGGCGGGUGCUAACGUCCGUCGUGAAGAGGGAAACAACCCAGACCGCCAGCUAAGGUCCCAAAGUCAUGGUUAAGUGGGAAACGAUGUGGGAAGGCCCAGACAGCCAGGAUGUUGGCUUAGAAGCAGCCAUCAUUUAAAGAAAGCGUAAUAGCUCACUGGUCGAGUCGGCCUGCGCGGAAGAUGUAACGGGGCUAAACCAUGCACCGAAGCUGCGGCAGCGACACUGAUGUGUUGUUGGGUAGGGGAGCGUUCUGUAAGCCGUUGAAGGUGGCCUGUGAGGGUUGCUGGAGGUAUCAGAAGUGCGAAUGCUGACAUAAGUAACGAUAAAGCGGGUGAAAAGCCCGCUCGCCGGAAGACCAAGGGUUCCUGUCCAACGUUAAUCGGGGCAGGGUGAGUCGACCCCUAAGGCGAGGCCGAAAGGCGUAGUCGAUGGGAAACGGGUUAAUAUUCCCGUACUUGGUGUUACUGCGAAGGGGGGACGGAGAAGGCUAUGUUGGCCGGGCGACGGUUGUCCCGGUUUAAGCGUGUAGGUGUGUGUUCCAGGUAAAUCCGGUUCACUUUAACACUGAGGCGUGAUGACGAGGCACCACGGUGCUGAAGCAACAAAUGCCCUGCUUCCAGGAAAAGCCUCUAAGCAUCAGGUAACAU
rnacentral:rRNA from 1 species